UCAAACUUGGUCAUUUAGAGGAAGUAAAAGUCGUAACAAGGUUUCCGUAGGUGAACCUGCGGAAGGAUCAUUACCAACCUUUGGUGAGCCUUGGAUUCGUCCAUGGUCUCGCGAAAACUUGUAUUUAAAACCCGCUCAUAUAACUAAAAACAUGUAGUAACAUGAUAAUUUAAAGAUCACUUUCAACAACGGAUCUCUUGGCUCUCAGAGACAGUCAAACUUGGUCAUUUAGAGGAAGUAAAAGUCGUAACAAGGUUUCCGUAGGUGAACCUGCGGAAGGAUCAUUACCAACCUUUGGUGAGCCUUGGAUUCGUCCAUGGUCUCGCGAAAACUUGUAUUUAAAACCCGCUCAUAUAACUAAAAACAUGUAGUAACAUGAUAAUUUAAAGAUCACUUUCAACAACGGAUCUCUUGGCUCUCGCAUCGAUGAAGAACGCAGC
rnacentral:misc_RNA from 1 species